AGUGUAAAUGCCCCAUCCCCAUUGCAAGCCCGACCAUGAUAAGGAUUUUGAGACAAACAUUGUUUUGUAAUAAAAAAAACAUUGAAAGUAAGUUGGUUUUGAGGACUUUGUAGUUUUGUGGACACAAUCCUUUCCUUUCUAUAUUUACAUAGAGCAUACAAUUAUUUUAGCUACAGCAGCUGAGAUUCUAAAGAUCAUCAUGUUGUAUGUCUUUCAUGACUGAGCCAGAGGAAAG